UUGACCUCGGAUCAGGUAGGGAUACCCGCUGAACUUAAGCAUAUCAAUAAGCGGAGGAAAAGAAACCAACAGGGAUUACCUCAGUAACGGCGAGUGAAGCGGUAAGAGCUCAAAUUUGAAAGCUGGCUCCUUCGGGGUCCGCAUUGUAAUUUGCAGAGGAUGUUUCGGGAGCAGCCCCCAUCUAAGUGUCCUGGAACGGACCGUCAUAGAGGGUGAGAAUCCCGUAUGGGAUGGGGUGUCUGCGCCCAUGUGAAACUCCUUCGACGAGUCGAGUUGUUUGGGAAUGCAGCUCUAAAUGGGUGGUAAAUUUCAUCUAAAGCUAAAUAUUGGCCGGAGACCGAUAGCGCACAAGUAGAGUGAUCGAAAGAUGAAAAGCACUUUGAAAAGAGAGUUAAAAAGCACGUGAAAUUGUUGAAAGGGAAGCGCUUGCGAUCAGACUCGCCUUGGGGGUUCAGCCGGCAUUCGUGCCGGUGUACUUCCCCCAGGGCGGGCCAGCGUCGGUUUGGGUGGCUGGUCAAAGGCCUUUGGAAUGUAACGCCUCUCGGGGCGUCUUAUAGCCAAGGGUGCCAUGCAGCCUACCUGGACCGAGGAACGCGCUUCGGCUCGGACGCUGGCAUAAUGGUCGUAAGCGACCCGUCUUGAAACACGGACCAAGGAGUCUAACAUCUACGCGAGUGUUCGGGUGUCAAACCCGUGCGCGCAGUGAAAGCGAACGGAGGUGGGAACCCUUUGGGUGCACCAUCGACCGAUCCUGAUGUCUUCGGAUGGAUUUGAGUAAGAGCGUAGCUGUUGGGACCCGAAAGAUGGUGAACUAUGCCUGAAUAGGGCGAAGCCAGAGGAAACUCUGGUGGAGGCUCGCAGCGGUUCUGACGUGCAAAUCGAUCGUC
rnacentral:rRNA from 1 species